rnacentral:rRNA from 1 species
UACGAAGGGUGCGAGCGUUGUUCGGAAUUAUUGGGCGUAAAGGGUUCGUAGGCGGGAAUGUAAGUUGAGUGUGAAAACCCCGGGCUUAACCUGGGACGUGCACUCAAAACUGUAUUUCUUGAGUGUUGGAGAGGGUGGUGGAAUUGCUGGUGUAGGAGUGACAUCCGUAGAGAUCAGCAGGAACGCCAGAGGCGAAAGCGACCACCUGGCCAAACACUGACGCUGAGGAACGAAAGCGUGGGGAGCAAACAGG